rnacentral:rRNA from 1 species
GUAGCUGGUCUGAGAGGAUGAUCAGCCACACUGGGACUGAGAUACGGCCCAGACUCCUAUGGGAGGCAGCAGUGAGGAAUAUUGCGCAAUGGGCGAAAGCCUGACGCAGCAACGCCGCGUGAGGGAUGAAGGUGCUCUGCAUUGUAAACCUCUGUAAGGAGGGACGAAAAGCCGGUUUGGCCGGUCCUGACGGUACCUCCUAAGUAAGCACCGGCUAACUCCGUGCCAGCAGCCGCGGUAAUACGGAGGGUGCAAGCGUUGUCCGGAUUCACUGGGUGUAAAGGGCGUGUAGGCGGGGUGGUGUGUCGGAAGUGAAAUCGUGCGGCUUAACCGUAGCAAUUGCUUCCGAAACUACUACUCUUGAGUACGGAAGGGGCAGAUGGAAUUCCAGGUGUAGCGGUGGAAUGCGUAGAUAUCUGGAAGAACACCGGUGGCGAAGGCGGUCUGCUGGUCCGAUACUGACGCUGAGGCGCGAAAGUGUGGGGAGCAAACAGGAUUAGAUACCCUGGUAGUCCACACCGUAAACGAUGGUCACUAGAUGUCGGGGGAUUCGACCCCCUCGGUAUCGACGCUAACGCAUUAAGUGACCCACCUGGGGAGUACGCUCGCAAGGGUGAAACUCAAAGGAAUUGACGGGGGCCCGCACAAGCGGUGGAGCAUGUGGUUUAAUUCGAUGCAACGCGAAGAACCUUACCUGGGCUUGAAGUGCCGUGUAAACCCAUGAAAAUGGGCUAUCC